ACUUGUGCAGGUGACGUUUCGGGAGCUGUGGCUCAGAUGCUCCCAUCCCAGACCUCAAGUCAGCACCAUGGACCUUUAAAUCCCUGCAGGUUGUGUGAAGACCACUGUCUUUGCAGAAUGAAAGAGCAUGGCAAGGAGCAGUCUUCAUGGAUGUUAACCUUGGUCUUUCUCUCCCUCUUCUCCUCACCAGGUGUAUCAUACCUUGUUCUGGCCACUUGAAUGGAUGGUGGCCAGCAGAGACAGCAACACUUGCUAUGCAAAGAUCAUCUGCACCAUGCUCGACAGUGAUCGUGUGUUAGGAUUUCAUGUUCUUGGACCGAAUGCUGGUGAGAUCACCCAGGGGUUUGCAGCUUCCAUGAAGUGUGGGCUCACAAAACAGCUGCUUGAUGACACUAUUGGAAUCCACCCUACAUGUGGAGAGGUGUUCACAACCCUGGAAAUCACCAAGUCAUCGGGACUGGACAUUACCCAGAAGGGCUGCUGAGGCUAGCAUGUUGAUGCCGUGUUUCCUUGGACACUUCUCAUUUCUUCCCAAGAAAGGGGGUGGAGAUGAGAUGGUGACAGGAACACAGCAGCAGCAGGCAGCUGCAGGGACUCUGGCUGACGAGGCAGCAGGUAGACUGCGUCCUUGACACUCUGGCUCAGAACCCUAGUGGGGAGCCUGGGCCAACUCCAGCGCAUCAGACCUGAGCAUCCCACGGAGACCCCAGAUGGCACUGGUAGCCCAAGUGACCCUUCCUGGUGCCUGGUGUUUUUAUGCCCUCACUUUGUUUUCUGUGAGGAUAUUUUUUCUAUGAAGCUGACUACAAAGGCGAUUUCCAGCAUGGGCCUGGCACACAUGCUUAGGGCAGAGGUGUCUGGGGCUGGGCACCUGUGUGGCUUUGAGCACAGGGUUCGAGCACUAGCAGGAGAAUGUGCCCACAGCAUGGGUUUCAGCCAACUGCUCUGUCCUCUAAGGUACAUCUCAACCUAGUGCCAAAAUCCUGGCUUCGGCGUCGGCAUUCCAUGGUGAUAACCCUGGGCACACUCUCCUCACACAACUCCAGGCCGACGGAACAUCAAACAGGAGAGAAAAUACUUGAAUCCCUUUUUCAUGUUGAUCUUAAAAAUAAUAUUAAAAUGUUUUCAGUAUUGUUUUAUGUGAAAUAUAAUUUCAAACUGUUAGAAAUGA